UUGAAAUUAAAGAUAUAAUUAAAAAUUUUUUUAAACGGCUGCAAUUAAUAGUUGUGCUAAGGUAGCGUAAUCAUUUGCCCCCUAAUUAGGGGAAGGUAUGAAUGGUUUGACGUGGGAAAAGCUGUCUCUUUUAUAUAAAAAGAAGUUUAUUUUUGAGUGAAAAAGCUUAAAUGUUUAUAAAAGACGAGAAGACCCUAUCGAACUUGAAUUGUGUAGUUAAAAUUUUAAAUGCAGAAAGUUUAGUUGGGGAAACUUAAAGUUAAAAGAAACGCUUUUUUGUUAUAAAAUGAUCCUGUAUUACAGAAAAAUGAAAAAGUUACCGUAGGGAUAACAGCGCUUUCUUCUCUGAGAGGACUAAUUAAAGAGUUGGUUGCGACCUCGAUGUUGGAUUAAGGUUUCUUUUUGGGGUAGGAGUUAAAAUAGUAAAACUGUUCGUUUU
rnacentral:rRNA from 1 species